AGCGAACGCUGGCGGCAGGCUUAACACAUGCAAGUCGAGCGGGCAUAGCAAUAUGUCAGCGGCAGACGGGUGAGUAACGCGUGGGAACGUACCUUUUGGUUCGGAACAACUGAGGGAAACUUCAGCUAUUACCGGUUAAGCCCUUACGGGGAAAGAUUUAUCGCCGAAAGAUCGGCCCGCGUCUGAUUAGCUAGUUGGUGAGGUAAUGGCUCACCAAGGCGACGACCAGUAGCUGGUCUGAGAGGAUGAUCAGCCACAUUGGGACUGAGACACGGCCCAAACUCCUACGGGAGGCAGCAGUGGGGAAUAUUGGACAAUGGGCGCAAGCCUGAUCCAGCCAUGCCGCGUGAGUGAUGAAGGCCCUAGGGUUGUAAAGCUCUUUUGUGCGGGAAGAUAAUGACGGUACCGCAAGAAUAAGCCCCGGCUAACUUCGUG
rnacentral:rRNA from 1 species